CUCCCUUCAGGGCUCUAAAUUAAAAAAUGUAAUUGGUAGCACUGGUGCGCCCAACUUAAAAAAUUUAGGAGCACCACAUGAAAUUUAGGAGCACCAGAAAAUACGAUUUUUACAUUGAUUGAGAUACAACCUAUAUUGCCUAUAUGAAUUCCAGUGCUUUUGAAGAACAUGGUGUGCCCUAGGAACAAAUAUGUAAUACUUUAUGUGCCCCCAAAUGUAUACACUGGUAAAGUUACCAGGUAGUUAGUUAGCUAGCUAGCCAAUGAGAUAACAUGACUGAACAAAGUGUAAACAAAUGAUACCUCACAUUUAUAUGGACAAGUUGUGGCUGCGGUGGCACCUGGUUGGUGUGAGGAGGAUCUAGAGCAAGCGCGGCAGCAGCACCAGAGGAUUAGGAACGCUGACUCAGACUCGGCAAAUGUGAGUCGUCCCACACCUCACAUACAUACAGAACAUACGUUACCAUAACAAACGCACCCACGCAACAACUAAUUCCUGGAAAAUGUGACCUAUUUUGACCCUGUGAUAAUUUCACUCUCCGCCUAAUGAUUUGUGGGACCUGCAAAAGGUGUUCGGACGCCAAGUGAGAGUUAAGGCCAAACUGUUGGCCCAUAUGUUUAGAUUCAAGGCCUUCUGCGCUAACAGUUUUAUUGCCCUCUAAGUCUCAGCCUCCUUGAAAUAUUCCAGCACUGAAAACAGAGCGACAUGACAUCACUGUUGAACCGGUGCUCUCAGGGCAGCCAGGGUCAAGUGCCAUAGCUGCAAAGGGAACAUCUAAACCCCUUGGGCCCCUGGGACAAGACCAGUGGAUCUCCUGAGGGUACAGAGGCACCCAUGGGGCUUAAUGUUCUGGGUUUAGAAACACUGCUGGGACUGCAUGGAGCUUGCAGGAGAACACAAAUCACCACCUACUCUAUAGCCCUAUCUGUCAAUGGAUUACUUAAAUACUCUUUGGACAAUAUCAAUAGAUUAUAUACAAAUAAUAAUGAUAAUGGAUAUAAACUCAGCAAAAAAAGAAACGUCCUCUCACUCAACUGCGUUUAUCUUCAGCAAACAUAACAUGUGUAAAUAUUUGUAGGAACAUAACAACAGUCAACAACUGAGACAUAAACUGAACAAGUUC
rnacentral:lncRNA from 1 species